rnacentral:lncRNA from 1 species
AUGGCUUCUAGACUGCAGGAAGGGAGGCUGGAGCGGAGGUCAGCUUCGAGACCUCCUCUCCCCACCGUGGCAUGCCCAGGGCCAGUGAAAAGUGCCCCACUGGGGCUGCCAGAGGUCAGAGUCCUGGCUGGGGGUGGGGGGAGGGGGUACCCCCUGGAGACUCAGACCCCAGUUAGAAAGUCCAGGGUGACCAGUGCGCCAAGGGUAACAGAUGGAGAGUCUUACACAGGCCUUUGAACUUCCUCUUUGGCACAGUAAACCUGGAAAGCAGAGAGGGAGAAAUGAGGGUGCAGAUUGUCCGAGAGGGUGGGGUAGCCCUGUGAGCUGGCUUAGCCAAACCUCAGUUUAGUCAUCCAUAAAUGGGGACCGCAAAACGGAGAGGAUAGUUUUUGCUUGUUAUUUUAUGUGUUUUGAAAAGGGGGUCUUGUUAUAUAACCUGGAUUAACCUGGAACUCACUCUGUAGCCCAGGCUGGCAUUAAACUUUCAAUCCUCC